GCGAGUGAAGCGGCAAAAGCUCAAAUUUGAAAUCUGGUACCUUUGGUGCCCGAGUUGUAAUUUGAAGGUAGUUUUCUGGUGCUGGUCCUUGUCUAUGUUCCUUGGAACAGGACGUCAUAGAGGGUGAGAAUCCCGUCUGAUGGGGAAUCCAGUGCUUUGUAGAUUUCUACCGACGAGUCGAGUUGUUUGGGAAUGCAGCUCUAAGUGGGUGGUAAAUUCCAUCUAAAGCUAAAUAUUGGCGAGAGACCGAUAGCGAACAAGUACAGUGAUGGAAAGAUGAAAAGAACUUUGAAAAGAGAGUGAAAAAGUACGUGAAAUUGUUGAAAGGGAAGGGUAUUGGAUCAGACUUGGUGUUUUGUGAUUAUCUUCCCUUCUUGGGUUGUGCACUCGCAUUUCACUGGGCCAGCAUCGGUUCGGGUGGCAAGAUAAUGGCUUGGGAACGUGGCACUCUUCGGAGUGUGUUAUAGCCCUUGUUGAUGUUGCCUACCUGGACCGAGGACUGCGGCUUCUGCCUAGGAUGCUGGCGUAAUGAUUCAAUACCGCCC
rnacentral:rRNA from 1 species